CUUAAGGCUCCUUUGUUAUGCUUUCAUUAUCAUAUACUAACUCAGAAUAAAAAAAGCAUCUGGUGAGUUCUAUUAUUCACUCGCAAAACAAAACUUUCACAGAUUCUGCUUCCCUCCAAGAAUGCUUCCACCUACCAGUGUGACAAGGGACUUGACCACAUGAUCCCAAGGCAGUGAAAUGAAAGCAGGUAUAACAUCUGUGCUUUCUACAGAGGUUUUUUAAAGCUUGAUGAGGAAGCACACAGAGCCCCAUGUUCCUUUCUCCUCUGCCAAGAGAGCAGUCAGUAACAUCCCAGAUUAGCUGUGUUCCAAAAGCCAAGGGCAAGAGGGAAGGCAAUGUGGAGCAAAGCCCUUUUGAUUUGCAUUGUGCAUGUGAAGAAAGCAAGAAGCAAGCCUUUGUCAUUGUCAGUCACUGGGAUUGGGGUAAUUAUUUUUCCCUACUAAUCCACAAGGAUAGAUUUCUAAAAAUUUUUCUGCUGCAUAGAGAGUCCCUUGACCUACCAUGGUUUGAUUUACAAUUUUUCAACUUUAUGAUGAAAGAAAUUGAUACACAUUCAGUAGAAACUACACUUUGUAUUGUAAAGUUUGAUCUUUCCCCAGGUUAUUGAUAUACAAUAAAAUAUUCUCUUUUUAUGCUGUGCAAGUGACAAUGAGCUGUGGCUGCUACUGAGACACUGGUCAUGAGAGUAUUUUCAACUAGAAUAUAUUUAACUUAAGGUGAGAUUAUCAGUACAUAACCCCAUUAUGAAUCAAAGAGUAUUUGUAUUCUAUUUGUUUAUGGUUACAUAGACAUAUCAAUAUUUCAAUAUAUGUAUUAUUCAUAUGUAAAAUUUCAUCAUGUUUUAUUAUUUUUACUAUAUUUAUAACUAUCUG
rnacentral:lncRNA from 1 species